CAGUAGCCGCGGUAAUACGAAGGGUGCAAGCGUUACUCGGAAUUACUGGGCGUAAAGCGUGCGUAGGCGGUGAGUUAAGUCUGCUGUGAAAUCCCCGGGCUCAACCUGGGAAUGGCAGUGGAUACUGGCUCGCUAGAGUGUGUCAGAGGCUGGUGGAAUUCCCGGUGUAGCAGUGAAAUGCGUAGAGAUCGGGAGGAACAUCAGUGGCGAAGGCGGCCAUCUGGGACAACACUGACGCUGAGGCACGAAAGCGUGGGGAGCAAACAGGAUUAGAGACCCCGGUAGUCCCUGUCUCUUAUAC
rnacentral:rRNA from 1 species